rnacentral:rRNA from 1 species
AUGACAUUUAGGGGAACAAGUCAGUUCAAGAGGGCACUGGUGAAGUAUGGCCUUGCUAUGAAGAGGCACAUUUGCUUUGUAAAAGAUGAGGCUGGUAGGAUUAGGGCAAAAUGUUCUUGGCCUAAGUGUCCUUGGUUGAUUUAUGGUGCAAAGAGGAGUUCAAAUGAUUGGUUUCAAGUCAUAACACUUGUUGACAACCACAUAUGCCCAUAG